AAAUAAAUUUAAAAAAACAUCUUUGUAGUGCGUGCAAUACAACUGCUGCUUUUAUUUUGAAAAGUGUUAUAUGUGCGUAUGUCCUGUGAGGGAAGGCGCACAGCGGUUAUCCCCGAGACGCUAAAAAGAGAAAAGUUGAUGACGAAUGGCGUGUUUUAAAAAAUACAUGGACUGCCAAGUAAAGCGUUUACAGGUGCAGCCACGCUGCUUGCCACGGGGGGAAUUCCGCCCUCAAUGAAGACUCCCAGGUUUGAUGGCAAGGCGAACUGGGAGGCAUUUCAUCCCACUUGUGACAUCAAUUGUAGCGUCCAGAAGAAGUGCACACCAAGAAAACCAAUCCUCACUCCUCAUUUCCGCAACAGCAACGCUUCUUCCUUCGCCAAUCACCUUACAGACGUGCUACGUUCACAACAAAGAGGAUGCCGGAUGAAGUGACAGAAAUUGAAAUUUUUGUAUUGUAAUAUACAUCAGGAAGUGUUGUGUAAGAAAGUGUUAAAAAUAAAACCAUCAAAAGCCAUCUGCUUUUGUAUAAAGAUAAGUUAGGUUAAAUGAAAAUAUUAUUAUUAUCUAUCUUACGGUAUAUCAAAAAUAAU